rnacentral:rRNA from 1 species
UACGUAUGGGGCAAGCGUUGUUCGGAUUUACUGGGCGUAAAGGGCGUGUAGGCGGUGUGGUAAGUCGGAUGUGAAAUCUCUAGGCUCAACCUGGAAACUGCAUUCGAAACUGGCAUGCUUGAGUACCGGAGAGGGAAACGGAAUUCCUGGUGUAGGGGUGAAAUCUGUGAGAUAUCAGGAAGAACACCGGUGGCGAAGGCGGUUUCCUGGCCGGAUACUGACGCUGAGGCGCGAAAGCUAGGGGAGCAACAGGAUUAAGAUACCCUUGUA